GUAGGGAAUAUUGGUCAAUGGAUGCAAGUCUGACCCAGCCAUCCCGCGUGCCGGAAGAAGGCCCUCAGGGUUGUAAACGGCUUUUGACGGUGAAGAAUCGACAGGAUGCGUCCUGUUUUGACGGUAGCCGUUGAAUAAGCACCGGCUAACUCCGUGCCAGCAGCCGCGGUAAUACGGAGGGUGCGAGCGUUGUCCGGAUUUAUUGGGUUUAAAGGGUGCGUAGGCUGGAAGGUCAGUCAGCGGUGAAAAGCUGUCGCUUAACGAUAGUCUUGCCGCAGAUACUUCCUUUCUUGGAUGAGGAGGAGGCCACUGGAACGGAUGGUGUAGCGGUGAAAUGCAUAGAUAUCAUCCAGAACACCGAUUGCGAAGGCAGGUGGCUGUACCUUAAUCGACGCUGAUGCACGAAAGCAUGGGGAGCAAACGGGAUUAGAUACCCUUGUAGUCC
rnacentral:rRNA from 1 species